UGCUGCCCAUCAUAGGCCGUGCCUUUCAGAGCCGUCAACUUAAUUAAGGCAAUCACCACAGACAUGGCCACAGGCCAAGCUGAUGUAUGAAACCCCUCAUUGAGAUUCUCUUUCUGGGUGAUUCUAUGUUAAGUUGAGGAUUAACGCUGACCCUGCAUCCCUUCUGAGCUCCUAGGCUGAUUCAUCUCAUCUUGCUCAGGCUCCCUUCUGUCUUUAUCCUAUAGAUUCCUAACUGGAGAGAUGUUCUUAGAUGGUUCUAUUGAUAAACCCGGACAUGGGAUGACAAGAAAGGCCCUUCACCUCAUGGGUGUCGUUCUCAAAAGUCCACUGGCGUUGCAGGUUCAGUCAUGGAGAGCUCAUCAGGCAAUUUCAGAUACAGAGAGAUUCUCUAGACCUUAGAUGCAGGGCUAUUCGAGAAGACUAAAAUUAAUUAAUUAAUUAGUUAAUUAAUUAACUAAUUAAAAAAGCCAGAGGACCUGUCACAGACCCGAGCAGGUAGAAGAGGUACAACUGCAGAGUUGAACAGGGUCUUGGAUUAGAUCCUCGGACAAGAAGAGUGCCGGUUACCUGGAGCUCUUCCUGACAAGAUAACGGUCAGUUUCUUGACUUUUACGCCUGCUUAUUUAAGACUCACCAUGCCAGUAAUGAUGACCUUGAACUUCUGAGAAAAGAGGAGAACUACCUUGAAACACAUGAGUCACCUGCCCUGAGUAGGAAGAGCAACAGAAACAAGGGAGAGAGGCUGCCUGACAAGGGGGAGGAAGGAACCACUUCCUGGAGAGCUGUCUUCUGACCUCCACACACACCAUGACACACGGCUGCCCCGCCCAAUAUUCCGUUUUUAAUAGAGAAGGAAUCUGAGUGAUUCUUCCUUAUUUUCUGCCUGUUUCAGUUCUGUGUCUCAGGCGUUUGGCCUCUGCUUGUCCCUGCGACCUGCAGGUGGCAAGAGCUUCCUGGAGGUCAGCCUGUCUUGCAUCUCCCUAUCAAGGUGUUAGCUCCCAUGACUCUGCCCACAGUUCCGGGAACUACUGUUCAUCUUCAUCUCCUCAACAGAGAAAUGAAUAAUGCGCUCAACCUACGUCCAUCGCCUUGAUCAAUGAUAGAGAAAUAAAAAAAAAACACACAGAAAAUGUAUAUUUCAAAAAGCAGUCAAGAAAAAAAAAUGGAUUUUUUUCUGAGUCAAUGCAGAAAGUAUUUCUCUCCCUCAGAAUUCCUGAGUAAAGAUGUGUUGCUUAAGAGGGUGCAACACUCUUCACUACGUGCAUUCAGAUCUAACUCUAUCUCUAGGCCAAAAGUAAAACAAAAACGGCUUGAUAUCUUCUAAGAAAGCCAUCUGCACAUAGAGUCCGGCGAGACAGGCUGUCAUCGGGGUAACCCGUCUUGAAGACAGGUCCUCUGGGUGUUUCCAAGUUACUGUCCUUGACUCUGGGGUAGGGAAGAGUAGCACAUUCAGAUCUGGAUGUGUUUGUCUAGAAAAGUCUUGUUCGUCUAUGGUGCUCACUGCUGAAACAGCUCAGGACUGAAAGCUCCAAGCCUAACUGCCCAGUGUGAAUCCAAGGCCCUCUGGGAGACUAGUGAACCCUGGGCAUGCUUAGAGCCAGUGCCAGAGAACUUACCUAGCAUGCAAAGAGGCCUGAGGACGACACAGAGGUGGGAGAGGACACAGAACAGGACGUGCCAGUUAGACAAUAAAGCAGUAAACCAUUGUUAUUCAAAGUCAUUUCUAGAAAAUACAUGAAAAGUCUACAGUCAAACCACUCUGAAUAUGUCUAACCUUGUCUUGUCUCAGGGGCUAAUGCAGUCAGGCCUCGUUAGUACUUGGAUGGGAGAAAAUAUAUGAAGAAUUAUUUUUAACCUACUAUUUAUAUAGGUUAUUACUAAGCAGGCUGGGAUUUGUUUAAAACUCACAUAAAUUGAUGGAUUUUAUUUAAUUGGUGAAUAAAAAGUAAGAAUGG